CUAGGGGAGGUGCUUGCGGUACCCCUCACUACCAUACACCCACCCUCACCCCACUCACCCACUCCCUCCCCUCGUCACCCCCUCCCGGAGCCACGAUCUAUAAUACUUCAGCCCGGCGUCCAAUGACAUUCCGGCGGCCUCCAAUCUCGCCCAAGUUUACGCAUAUAAAAGGAGGCUGAGAUUUGUGCCAAAAGCCAAGCAUCUUUGGAUCACAACUAAAUGUAGGAUUUCGUUGCUUUUUUUGUCUGUCUAUCUUUAAAAUUUGAAAGAAAUUAACGAACGUUUUGCUUAAAGUCAAGGACGCGGGGCAGCGUUGGUAAUAGACUAUGCAGGUUCUCUUUGGGAUGUAGCAGGGAAAAAUUGAUUUUGGAUGCUGCCAUCUGAAUUCAAGAACAUCUCAACGUGUCCAUUCUGAAUGGACUGAACAGCAGCUGGAAAAGAUGAUUGAACAAAUGAGCUGGCUGCAAAAGUGUCCAUCCAAAGGACAUCCAAGUGGAUUCUAAUGACUUCUCUUCAAGGCAAAAAGGAAAAAAUACACAACCUUCAGUCGGUUACACGAGACACGAAGACAGCAGGACAUGCCGACAACAAAACAGUACGACAACAACGAUCCGACGGGAGCGAGGGGCAGACAGGACUUAAAUACACGACAGGUAACAAGAGGCAGGUGAGAAUGAUCACACUAAUCAUGGGCACACAGGAGGGGAGGGGCGAGCACACAGGCACACGGACAGAAACUAAGACAAUAUGCACAUAAUAAAACAACCGGGGACGAGACGUGACAAAUAAUGUGAUUUAAUAAUGACUCUACAGUCACUAUGUGUUUUAGUAAAUAACAGCCCUUUUGUGUGUACUAUAACAUUAUCAAAUGAAAAAAUAAAAUUAAAAAAAUAAUAAGAAAGUCAACCUCUACUACUUUUCAAACAUAUUUUUCUAUAUUCAAGCACACUGUUCAAACAGCAUGAACUGGCUCAUGACAAAAUUAAAUACACUAGGAAUACAACCUGUGUAAUUUUUGAUGAACACUU